GACCCCAUCGUCUAGCCUGGUCUAGGACAAGAGCUUUUCAAGCUCUCGACGCGGGUUCAAAUCCCGCUGGGGUCGCCA
rnacentral:tRNA from 1 species